AUGCUAGUUGAGAUGCUUGAGGAGUUGCUUGUUGAGAUGCCUGUCGAGAUGCUUGAGGAGUUGCUUGUUGAGUUGCUUGUCGAGAUGCUAGUUGAGAUGCUUGAGGAGUUGCUUGUUGAGAUGCCUGUCGAGAUUCUUGUUGAGAUGCUUGAGGAGUUGCUUGUUGAGAUGCUUGUCGAGUUGCUUGUUAAGAUGCUUGUGAUUAUUUGUGUGGACAAAAAAUUGCAGCACAAGUCCGACGCCGCCGCCACGGAAUUGUUCGCCACUAGUGGCUCCCUGCGCUCGCCGCGGACUGACGGCAUGGGCAGCCCGCCCAAGGACGCGGCGGUGGCCUCCUCCCCCAGCGCCUCCCCCGGGGGCCUCCACCACCAGCAGCAGCUCCGAUUCCGCCUCUUCAAGUGCCCGAGCGCCGGCGACGUCGUGCUGGGCCUGGGGAUCCGGGAGAGGAGGGAGCUGGGCCGAGUCUUCUUCGCCUUCUGUAGGGGUGGAGGUAGGAGCUGGGGAGGGGUGGAUCCACCGGCGCACGUAGAUCGAGCGCCCGCGCGCCUCCACCGCAUAGAAGCUCGUCACCGGCGGAAAAAAAAUCAAAUUUUUCAGCGGCGCAUACAGACUGUGACUGGAGGACGGGUGGUGGAAGAGGCCGACGACGUCGAGAGGGAGAGGCAGAGGGGAGACCGACGUCGAGGGGGAGUAGCAGAGGGGAGGCUGGCGAUGGGGACGCGGGCCGCCGACGAGCGGAUCUGGGAGAGUGACUGGGAGAGCGAGUGGAGCUAG
rnacentral:rRNA from 1 species